CCUACGGGAGGCAGCGGUGGGGGAUAUUGCACAAUGGGGGGAACCCUGAUGCAGCGACGCCGCGUGGGUGAAGGAGCGUUUAGGCGCUGAAAGCCCUAUCGGUAGGGAAGAAGAUGACGGUACCUGACCAAGAAGCCCCGGCUAACUACGUGCCAGCAGCCGCGGUAAUAAGUAGGGGGCAAGCGUUAUCGGGAUUUACUGGGUGGAAAGGGGGCGCAGACGGCAAUGGAAGCCAGGAGUGAAAGCCCGGGGCCCAACCCCGGGACUGCUCUUGGAAAUGCAUGGCUGGAGUACAGGAGGGGCAGGCGGAAUUCCUGGUGUAGCGGUGAAAUGCGUAGAUAUUAGGAGGAACACCGGUGGCGAAGGCGGCCUUCUGGACUGUGACUGACGUUGAGGCCCGAAGGCGUGGGGAGCGAACGGGAUUAGAUACCCCUGUAGUC
rnacentral:rRNA from 1 species